rnacentral:rRNA from 1 species
GACGAACGCUGGCGGCGUGCCUAAUACAUGCAAGUUGAGCGCUGAAGGUUGGUACUUGUACCAACUGGAUGAGCAGCGAACGGGUGAGUAACGCGUGGGGAAUCUGCCUUUGAGCGGGGGACAACAUUUGGAAACGAAUGCUAAUACCGCAUAAAAACUUUAAACACAAGUUUUAAGUUUGAAAGAUGCACUUGCAUCACUCAAAGAUGAUCCCGCGUUGUAUUAGCUAGUUGGUGAGGUAAAGGCUCACCAAGGCGAUGAUACAUAGCCGACCUGAGAGGGUGAUCGGCCACAUUGGGACUGAGACACGGCCCACACUCCUACGGGAGGCAGCAGUAGGGAAUCUUCGGCAAUGGACGAAAGUCUGACCGAGCAACGCGGCGUGAGUGAAGGAGGUUUUCGGAUCGUAAAAAUCUGUUGGUAGAGAAGAACGUUGGUGAGAGUGGAAAGCUCAUCAAGUGACGGUAACUAACCAGAAAGGGACGGCUAACUACGUG